rnacentral:rRNA from 1 species
UACGGAGGAUGCAAGCGUUAUCCGGAAUGAUUGGGCGUAAAGCGUCCGCAGGUGGCUAUGUAAGUCUGCUGUUAAAGAGUGAGGCUCAACCUCAUAAGAGCAGUGGAAACUACAUGGCUAGAGUGCGUUCGGGGCAGAGGGAAUUCCUGGUGUAGCGGUGAAAUGCGCAGAUAUCAGGAAGAACACCCGUGGCGAAGGCGGCUCUCUGGAACGCAACUGACGCUGAGACGCGAAAGCGUGGGGAGCAAACAGG